rnacentral:tRNA from 1 species
GCUGCCUUAGCUCAGUGGUAGAGCAUCCGCCUCGUAAGCGGGAGGCCAUAGGUUCAAGUCCUAUAGGCAGCACCA